GUUCCUUUAAUAAGUCCAGCCUAUGAAGCAUCAUUUUGGAUUCCAAUAGACCUUCCUGGCCACCUCGAGAAAGAUACUAUGAGAAAAUAAAUGCUGGUGCUUUUCUAAGCCAGCUUCGGAAAUGGUGUACCUGUUACUCUGUACUGCGACUCUCAUUUUGGAUGUCUCUGUCUGUCCUUACAGAACAGAAUUCUCCUGAGAGCUUUCCAUGGAGACUUCUCAUGGGAGGAGAUGCUUGGGGGUCCCAGUUGUUGCAGUCACGGCGAUUUCAAUAUCCACAAUAUUGUCACUAUACACUGCGUUGACAACGCCUUGGUGACAUCCUCGGUCCCAGCUGCUGCUGACUGACAGACCUAGAGAGGCCCAUCUACUGGGGUUCGAUCUGAAGAAAUCGAUGGCCGAAAAAUCACGCAAGGAUGAGGAUGUAGACAAAGAAGACUCAAUAUCGAAGCAAGGGCAGGCUUCCUCCUGCCAUGAUGGCUUGUCCCAGUUCCAGAAGCACAGACACCUGACCAGCAACUGAAACCUUUGAGACAACCGGGAGCCACACAAUGGAAAGCUCGGCUUCUAAAUCAGACCUCCAAGUCCUGAUAUCCACUCCUGCCUCAUGCACUGAAAGGAAAUAAAACUGUGAUUCAUGUAAUGUAUGUCAAAUAGCCCAAAGAGUUGUUUGUGAGCUUUGAAACCUGGGGCUGAGAACAUAGCAGAACAGACCAGGACAUGCCCGGGCAGGCCCAUCGUCUCCCUAUCUCCCACCCCUCUGACCUAAGUUAAAUGUUACAGGCUGCUGAUGUUUAAAUGGACCAAUCAUGUGAAACCACGCCAAUUCCUCCCCCAGCCCCACUCCUUUUCUAUAAAAACCCCUAGCUUCCAAGCCUCGUGGUCGAAUCCACUGUCUCCUGUGUGAGAUACGUUUCGACCCUGAGCUCCGCCAUUAAAAUACCCCGUGUUGUUACAUCAA
rnacentral:lncRNA from 1 species